AUUGAACGCUGGCGGCAGGCCUAACACAUGCAAGUCGAGCGAGCGGCGGACGGGUGAGUGAUGUCUGGGAAACUGCCUGCUGUGGGGGGAUAACUCCUGGAAAAGGUAGCUAAUACCGCAUACCCUCUGAUGUGCCCAGAUGGGAUGAGCUAGAGGGUGGGGUAACGGCUCACCUAGGCGACGAUCCCUAGCUGCGCUGAGAGGAUGACCAGCCAACCUGGAACGGAGACACGGCCCAGACUCCUACGGGAGGCAGCAGUGGGUAUUAUUGCACAAUGGGCGAAAGCCGGAUGCCGCCAUGCCGGGUGUGUGAAGAGGGCCUCCGGGUGGUAAGGCACGUUCAGCGGUGAGGCGUUACCCGCAGAAGAAGCACCGGCUAACUACGUGCCAGCAGCCGCGGUAAUAC
rnacentral:rRNA from 1 species